rnacentral:lncRNA from 1 species
CAAGAAGAGAAAACAACAUUAAAAUAAGUAAUUAAAAAUAACAAUCCCCGGCGACACGGCGCCAAAAAUUUGAUAGGAUUAAAAGCACACCACAAAGUAGCACACAAAUGUCCUAUUGAUUUUCCUUAUUAACACUAAGAUUUGUCAAUUGUAGCAUAUGAAAAUAAGGGUCUUUCCCGCAGAAGAUUGUUUUAUCUAACUACCUAAACUGUCACAAAAACUGGGUUGCUGUCCCUACUGACCAGCCACCGGAAAAUAAUUAUUAGACUGACUUAUACAUAUCUAAAGUCUACGAAAUUUUAUAUGUAGAUACUAGACACACAAAGCUACACUCACACAAAUGUUUGGGAUUUUUGGAGUUGAUUUGCUAUUUAAAUUAAAUCGAAAAAAAAAACAGGAUAGAAACAAAUUUUAAGUAGUUCACAAAUUAAGAAAAACGAG